GAUGAACGCUGGCGGCGUGCCUAAUACAUGCAAGUCGAGCGAACGGACGAGAAGCUUGCUUUUCUGAUGUUAGCGGCGGACGGGUGAGUAACACGUGGAUAACCUACCUAUAAGACUGGGAUAACUUCGGGAAACCGGAGCUAAUACCGGAUAAUAUUUUGAACCGCAUGGUUCAAAAGUGAAAGACGGUCCUGCUGUCACUUAUAGAUGGAUCCGCGCUGCAUUAGCUAGUUGGUAAGGUAACGGCUUACCAAGGCAACGAUGCAUAGCCGACCUGAGAGGGUGAUCGGCCACACUGGAACGGAGACACGGUCCAGACCCCUACGGGAGGCAGCAGUAGGGAAUCGUCCGCAAAGGGCGAAAGCCUGACGGAGCAACGCCGCGUGAGUGAUGAAGGUCUUCGGAUCGUAAAACUCUGUUAUUAGGGAAGAACAUAUGUGUAAGUAACUGUGCACAUCUUGACGGUACCUAAUCAGAAAGCCACGGCUAACUACGUG
rnacentral:rRNA from 1 species